UUUCCAGCUGAGGACACUGCUAACAUCUUGUGUCUCUGCAAAGACCUCUCUGUGAUCCUGUGAAUGGAUCUUCUCCCAAGCCAAUGGACAGCCCUUCCUGAAUAUCUCUGGGGAGCUCAUUGCUUACCUUCUUGGGACAGAAUCUCCCAAGGAUGAAGAGAAACCCGAUUAUUAGAGACAGAAGAGCUGUUGAUACCUUCUGGGAAUACUGGAGACUAGGAACUGAGGCAUCAAAAGAAGGGCUCACCUACAGCCCAGGGCCAGAGUCCAGGCAGACCCAGGUUCAGGGGGCAAGUCCACA